AUGUGUUAGUCAUUCCCAUUUCAAGUGUCGCAUCAGAAUGUGCAUUCAGCACAGGAGGUCGUGUUCUUGAUCCCUUUAGGAGUUCAUUAACUCCUAAAAUUGUGCAAUCUCUUAUUUGUGUUCAAGAUUGGCUUAGAAGUGAGUCUUUUCCAAUCAAUAUUGAGGAAGAUUUAGAGUAUCUUGAACAACUUUAACUUGAUUUUGCUUGUAGUGGGACUGAAUCUAGUAUAAUUGAUAUAUAGUUGCAGCUUGUAAGUUCAACUAUCAACUAGUGAUGUGUGGUAACGAGUAAGUAAAGAACUUAUUUACAUAACUUGCUUGAUAGUUUUAUAUAUUCUAUUAUGAAAUGUAGAUCAUUUGUCUA